rnacentral:rRNA from 1 species
GUAGGUGGCAAGCGUUGUCCGGAAUUAUUGGGCGUAAAGCGCGCGCAGGCGGUUCUUUAAGUCUGAUGUGAAAGCCCACGGCUCAACCGUGGAGGGUCAUUGGAAACUGGAGAACUUGAGUACAGAAGAGGAAAGCGGAAUUCCACGUGUAGCGGUGAAAUGCGUAGAGAUGUGGAGGAACACCAGUGGCGAAGGCGGCUUUCUGGUCUGUAACUGACGCUGAGGCGCGAAAGCGUGGGGAGCAAACAGGGAUUAGAUACCCUGGUAGUCCACGCCGUAAACGAUGAGUGCUAAGUGUUAGGGGGUUUUCCGCCCCCUUAGUGCUGCAGCUAACGCAUUAAGCACUCCGCCUGGGGAGUACGGCCGCAAGGCUG